rnacentral:lncRNA from 1 species
AGAUGACCUAGGGUCCCUCCAGCCUGAAGUCAAAAUGGAAGCAGGCAGCAAUGUGUGCUAUUUAACCCCCCUUACAGGUAGAACAUUGUAGGUUAAAACGUGAAACAAAUGAGUAGCCUAAAACAGACUCACAUUCACUGUUCAUUCAACUAAAAAGCUAAGCACCUGAAGGAAGGCACUACGUUCAGCUCAUUUCUGAAACAAUCCACUCACUAAGGUUAGUGUGAGCAUAUCUGUGUAUAUAGGUGUUGCCCACAGGACACCAAGUCCUAUGUGUGAAUUCACAUCCCGGGGAGCUUUCACAACCACACAGCACACACUCAGCAUCCGAAGAAAGACAAACAGCACUAAGAAAAUUCAAUUUUCAUGAUGCACACCAGGGAGGCUAAGCCUUUUUCAGUACCCUAAUCUUUAAAAUGGUGCAUCUACCACCUCGAUGCCACAUUAUGCAAAUUUACUAAGAAUUGUGAGUGAAGAGAUUUCAGCCCAAUUAAAAAAAGAUAAGGUUUUUUUUAAACGUGUCAAUUCCAAGAAGAUGGCCCAAGAAAUAAGCCGUAAUUACUCUAUCAUUAUAUCAACUCUUUAAUCACUUUUUUCCCCUUGCCUCCCAAAAAAAGAACUGAGGGGAAGUGGAAUUUAAAUAAAAAAUGAAUAGUCCCUCCAAGAAACCUCCAUAGAAGAGGAGUAUAUCUUCUGACAGAACACAUCUGUGUGCCUCUUAAAAAGGAUAUUCUAAAUCUGGAGGGAGUUAGCUUAGAUCCCCACCUUCCAGGCCCUGCCAUCUGGAAUUCUCAGACCCGUAAUAUCAAACUGUAAGGAAGCCGGGGCUGGAUGAGUAUCCCCACUCCCCUAACCCCACUCCAACAUUCUAUGUGCUACCACGCUCCCCUAUUUCAACCCAACUGGUUGAACAGGAAACAUUCCUAAGAUGAGCAGGUAGCCGGUGGAGCUGAACCCAAGUCUCCCCAGCCCAUGUCCACUGACACCCUGCAUGAUCAGAAGGCUUUAAAGAACCCUCACUCAGAAACCUCAUAUUAUUUUUGGAUGCCUCCGGUGUAAAAGCACCCCCUGCGUUCCGAAUAAUUCAUUUCAAGAAACAUGGUAUUAAGUGUUUAGUAUGUACCAGGCGCCUGAAUAGGUGCAGGGGUAAAAAUGUCUUGACACCAAGGAACCUCCGGCAUUUGUGAAUCUGCUGAACAUCGCCAUUGAUGGACUGGAUGCUGCCGCCUUUGCCCCUCCCCCUCCUGCCACGUGUCAUCGCGCCUACUUAGCGACACCUAGUGGUCAGUAAAGAGAACUAUCUGAAUCAAUGACGCCUUUCAGGACUUCUCUCAACAGAGUUUGACCAAGUUUUCUUCUGCUGUGUCAGAUCCCUCUCCCAGAUCAGAUCAUUAGAACCUCCUCCAGUAUCUUAUGUAUAUGUGUCUAGAAUGACUUUUUUUUGAGACAGAGUCUUGCUCUGUCGCCCAGGCUGGAGUGCAAUGGCCUGAUCUUGGCUCACUGCAACCUCCACCUCCCAGGUUCAAGUGAUCCUCCCACCUCAGCCUCCCAAGUAGCUGGGAUUACAGGGACACGCCACCACGCCCGGCUAUUUUUGUAUUUUUAGUAGAGACAAGGUUUCACCAUGCUGGCCAGGCUGGUCUUGAACUCCUGACCUCCGGUGAUCUGCCUGCCUUGGCCUCCCAAAGUUCUGGGAUUACAGGUGUAAGCCACCGCACCCAGCCUAGAAUGACUUUUUAACAUCUCUUUCUGUACACAUUUGAUCAAUAACCUUGGAAACAUUAUUCUUGUAGCACAUUUUAUUGCUGUAAGGGCAAGUUAAGACUUCUGAAUAAGCAAAAAUGAUUACUGAGCAUCUCCAAUGGAAAACUAUGCAUUCUUUACAGCACACUUUUCUAAGUUAUUUGUUUCUAUGGAAUCUGUGUUUUUUUCUUGUCUUGGAGUUAUUCUAGAGCUCGGUAGAUUGUGGAUAAAUACAAAUAAUUCUUGUCUAUAAACAUGCAAAUAAAUUCUGCCUGAUGGAAGUUCAGUAGACUCCACCUUACCCCACACCCGCACUCCACCCCGCCUCCCAUGGAAAAAGUCAAUUUUGUGUCCAUUGGUAAAUGAAUUUCAACGUUGCUUUACUCUAUAUAAAUUGGUCUUUGACCUUGCCUUUGAACUGGUGGUGACCUCUGGCUAGUUUCCCCUUUAAUUCAUGAGUUAAAUAAAAUUUUGACAUGUUUUCAUUCUA